rnacentral:piRNA from 1 species
ACUGGAGAAGGACUGCGCUGCAA